rnacentral:rRNA from 1 species
CGAAUCGUUCACAAUGGGGGCAACCCUGAUGGCGCGACGCCGCGUGGGGGAUGAAGGUCUUCGGAUUGUAAACUCCUGUCAUUGGGGACUAAUGGCCAGGCUCAUACCCUGGGUUUGAAUUAACCCAAAGAGGAAGCAGUGGCUAACUCUGUGCCAGCAGCCGCGGUAAUACAGAGACUGCAAGCGUUACUCGGAUUCACUGGGCGUAAAGGGAGCGCAGGCGGACUGGUGUGUCAGGCGUGAAAUCUCGGGGCUCAACCCCGAGGCUGCGCCCGAAACUACUAGUCUAGAGACUUGGAGGGGUAAGCGGAGUUCUUGGUGGAGCAGAGAAAUGCGUAGAUAUCAAGAGGAACACCAACGGCGAAGGCAGCUUACUGGACAAGAUCUGACGCUCAGGCUCGAAAGCGUGGGGAGCAAAAGGGAUUAUAUACCCCUGUAGUCCACGCUGUAAACGGUGCGCAUUAGGUCUCGGAGCUUUCGAACGCUUCGGGGCUCAAGCUAACGCAUUAAAUGCGCCGCCUGAGGACUACGGCCGCAAGGCUAAAACUCAAAGGAAUUGACGG